UGAGACUGCCGGUGACAAACCGGGAGGAAGGUGGGGAUGACGUCAAGUCCUCAUGGCCCUUAUGGGUAGGGCUUCACACGUCAUACAAUGGUCGGUACAGAGGGUUGCCAAGCCGCGAGGUGGAGCCAAUCCCUUAAAGCCGAUCGUAGUCCGGAUCGUAGUCUGCAACUCGACUACGUGAAGUCGGAAUCGCUAGUAAUCGCAGAUCAGCAUGCUGCGGUGAAUACGUUCCCGGGUCUU
rnacentral:rRNA from 1 species